CAAACACAGGUGUGCAUAUACAAAUGUAAACUCCAGUCACGAACAGCAACAAAUAGAUCGUAGUUUCAUAACGUUACGCUUUCAAAUUAAUAUUACUGCUGAAAUUGUGUAAUAAACAGCUUAAAAAUAGAUUAAUCCUUCCAUUCCAUUUGUGAACAAUUACUAGAAAUUCAACUUGAAACUUGCUUGCCACAACUCCAAUUAGGUGCUACACAUAAAGGCAGAAUUUUCACAGUAUGCUUGAGAAUACACCGCGUACUCUAUUAAUAAAAGUGAAAUUUAAAAUAUUAAAUAACACAAUAACAAUUGAGUUGUGAACCUCUUUGGUUUUGGCAUUCUUCAUACUUCAGAUGGCAUAAGGAGUCAAAAUAUUUAAAACACACAAGUUCCCGAUCGAGUGCACAUAUAGCAUUUUGACUCUCCGGAACACAGUCAAACACAUCGCCACAAUCCGUUGAUGGAAUGCAUUCAACAACCACUAAAUAUUAACAUUUGAAUUAAAUUUAUUUAUGUAAA